rnacentral:rRNA from 1 species
UUCCUGUCCAACGUUAAUCGGGGCAGGGUGAGUCGACCCCUAAGGCGAGGCCGAAAGGCGUAGUCGAUGGGAAACAGGUUAAUAUUCCUGUACUUGGUGUUACUGCGAAGGGGGGACGGAGAAGGCUAUGUUGGCCGGGCGACGGUUGUCCCGGUUUAAGCGUGUAGGCUGGUUUUCCAGGCAAAUCCGGAAAACUAAGGCUGAGGCGUGAUGACGAGGCACUACGGUGCUGAAGCAACAAAUGCCCUGCUUCCAGGAAAAGCCUCUAAGCAUCAGGUAACAUCAAAUCGUACCCCAAACCGACACAGGUGGUCAGGUAGAGAAUACCAAGGCGCUUGAGAGAACUCGGGUGAAGGAACUAGGCAAAAUGGUGCCGUAACUUCGGGAGAAGGCACGCUGAUAUGUAGGUGAAGUCCCUCGCGGAUGGAGCUGAAAUCAGUCGAAGAUACCAGCUGGCUGCAACUGUUUAUUAAAAACACAGCACUGUGCAAACACGAAAGUGGACGUAUACGGUGUGACGCCUGCCCGGUGCCGGAAGGUUAAUUGAUGGGGUCAGCGCAAGCGAAGCUCUUGAUCGAAGCCCCGGUAAACGGCGGCCGUAACUAUAACGGUCCUAAGGUAGCGAAAUUCCUUGUCGGGUAAGUUCCGACCUGCACGAAUGGCGUAAUGAUGGCCAGGCUGUCUCCACCCGAGACUCAGUGAAAUUGAACUCGCUGUGAAGAUGCAGUGUACCCGCGGCAAGACGGAAAGACCCCGUGAACCUUUACUAUAGCUUGACACUGAACAUUGAGCCUUGAUGUGUAGGAUAGGUGGGAGGCUUUGAAGUGUGGACGCCAGUCUGCAUGGAGCCGACCUUGAAAUACCACCCUUUAAUGUUUGAUGUUCUAACGUUGACCCGUAAUCCGGGUUGCGGACAGUGUCUGGUGGGUAGUUUGACUGGGGCGGUCUCCUCCUAAAGAGUAACGGAGGAGCACGAAGGUUGGCUAAUCCUGGUCGGACAUCAGGAGGUUAGUGCAAUGGCAUAAGCCAGCUUGACUGCGAGCGUGACGGCGCGAGCAGGUGCGAAAGCAGGUCAUAGUGAUCCGGUGGUUCUGAAUGGAAGGGCCAUCGCUCAACGGAUAAAAGGUACUCCGGGGAUAACAGGCUGAUACCGCCCAAGAGUUCAUAUCGACGGCGGUGUUUGGCACCUCGAUGUCGGCUCAUCACAUCCUGGGGCUGAAGUAGGUCCCAAGGGUAUGGCUGUUCGCCAUUUAAAGUGGUACGCGAGCUGGGUUUAGAACGUCGUGAGACAGUUCGGUCCCUAUCUGCCGUGGGCGCUGGAGAACUGAGGGGGGCUGCUCCUAGUACGAGAGGACCGGAGUGGACGCAUCACUGGUGUUCGGGUUGUCAUGCCAAUGGCACUGCCCGGUAGCUAAAUGCGGAAGAGAUAAGUGCUGAAAGCAUCUAAGCACGAAACUUGCCCCGAGAUGAGUUCUCCCUGACUCCUUGAGAGUCCUGAAGGAACGUUGAAG